GAUGAACGCUGACAGAAUGCUUAACACAUGCAAGUCUACUUGAACUUCGGUUUGGGUGGCGGACGGGUGAGUAACGCGUAAAGAACUUGCCUCACAGUUAGGGACAACAUUUGGAAACGAAUGCUAAUACCUGAUAUUAUGAUUUUAGGGCAUCCUAAGAUUAUGAAAGCUAUAUGUGCUGUGAGAGAGCUUUGCGUCCCAUUAGCUAGUUGGAGAGGUAACGGCUCACCAAGGCGAUGAUGGGUAGCCGGCCUGAGAGGGUGAACGGCCACAAGGGGACUGAGACACGGCCCUUACUCCUACGGGAGGCAGCAGUGGGGAAUAUUGGACAAUGGACCAAAAGUCUGAUCCAGCAAUUCUGUGUGCACGAUGACGUUUUUCGGAAUGUAAAGUGCUUUCAGUUGGGAAGAAAAAAAUGACGGUACCAACAGAAGAAGUGACGGCUAAAUACGUGCCAGCAGCCGCGGUAAUACGUAUGUCACAAGCGUUAUCCGGAUUUAUUGGGCGUAAAGCGCGUCUAGGUGGUUAUGUAAGUCUGAUGUGAAAAUGCAGGGCUCAACUCUGUAUUGCGUUGGAAACUGCAUGACUAGAGUACUGGAGAGGUAAGCGGAACUACAAGUGUAGAGGUGAAAUUCGUAGAUAUUUGUAGGAAUGCCGAUGGGGAAGCCAGCUUACUGGACAGAUACUGACGCUAAAGCGCGAAAGCGUGGGUAGCAAACAGG
rnacentral:rRNA from 1 species